rnacentral:rRNA from 1 species
UACGUAGGGGGCUAGCGUUGUCCGGAAUCAUUGGGCGUAAAGAGCGUGUAGGCGGCUCGGUAAGUCCGCUGUGAAAGUCCAGGGCUCAACCCUGGAAUGCCAGUGGAAACUGUCGAGCUAGAGUCCGGAAGAGGCGAGUGGAAUUCCUGGUGUAGCGGUGAAAUGCGCAGAUAUCAGGAGGAGCACCAAUGGCGAAGGCAGCUCGCCGGGACGGUACUGACGCUGAGACGCGAAAGCGUGGGGAGCAAACAGG